GCCUGGGGUGGGUGAAGAGAGGCCACAGAACCCACCAGAGCGGCAGAAAGUAAAGCUGACGAGCUGGGGGGAACUGACCCUGCGGGGGAACUGGCCUCGAGUGGAAACGUAACCCUGAAAAUCCUCCAUGGUGUUCUAUCCAUUUAUAGACACUGAAACCAAGACCCAGAGCAGUUCCAAGUUAUUGGCCCAAGGUCAGAGAGUUGCAAGCAAUGGAUCGGGAUCUGAACCAAGAAGCUGAGCUCUGGCGUUGGAUCUGAAACCCCAGGCUGGACUUAUUUUCCAAAUCCUUCGUUCCCUGGUGGGAUUUUUCUAGUUUCCUGAUGGAUAGUGUUGUCAAGUUUAAUAAGUAAAAAUAACAGGGCACCCAUGGAGAUUAGAAAAAAAAACUUUGCUGUUUAUCUAAAGUUCAAAUGGAUUGUUUGACUGGGUGGAGGGCUCUAGACUCCUCUUUGCACUAAUCCUGAACUUGCCUUUCCAAGCCAGGGGCAGGUCCCACCUUUGGCCAGUCAGUUGUACAGUUGUGGCUGGAUACAGAAUGUCAAAGUAUUUGCUUUCAUGAACUAAAGAUUGACACCACCAUCCCCACCCCACCCUCAUUGCUGCUUAAGAAGGGCCCUGUUCUCUGGAGCACUGUUCAGAGGAUGUUCACGUCAGGAAGGGCCACAUUCCUUGGAGCACCGUUCAGUGGAUGCUCAUGUCUGGAGGGGCCACACUACACUCCCUGUACCACUGUUCAGUGGAUGUGAGUGUCAGGAAGGGCCACGUUCCCCCCAGCACUGUUCAGUGGAUAUGAGUGUCAGGAAGGGCCACGUUCCCCCCAGCACUGUUCAGAGGAGGCAUGUGUCAGGCCACUCCUGUGACUGAGAGCUUCUGAGAACUGGCACUAGAAAGCGUGGUGGUGUAUGCCUGCUAUCCCAGCACUAGGAAGGCUGAGGCAGGAGGAUCAGAAAUUCAAGGUCACCUUCUUCUACUAGUGAGUCUGAGACCAGCUGGAGAUCCAGGAGACCCAUUUUUAAAAAAACAAACAAGAAGAAAAAUCUUAGAAAACAAAAAUAAAUAAGCAAACAGGUAGCAAAGCAGUUGUAAUCACUUUUGACGUCAUGUCUUUGUACAGUCAACUGAAACAGUAUUAUUGUGGCUCACACCUGUGAUCCCAGCACUAGGAAGGCUGAGGCAGGAGGAUUGCCCAAAGUCAAACCAGGCUAUAUAGUGAGACUGUCUCAGAGGCACUCAGAACAACAACAGACAAGUAUAAAUGUGAUCUUUUUGUGUUCUUUUCUUUCUCUGUAACAUGUAAUUUUAUAUUUACAACACUGCUCACUUUGGGCCCCACUGUGCCUUGGGCUCCUCCUCCCAGGAAGCACCGUUCCAGCAGGUUCUGUGGCCAUCUGAAGAGCAUUUGCACCUGGUCAUCACAUUUUCAUUCCCGAACUUUGGAGAACGUGGAUGCUCAGCGAGUAAGAUCUAACCCAGUGACGGCGACAUCAGCACCUGACCCCAGCUCAUUCUUUACUGAGGAGAGGACAGAGUUUAAGGACAAGCCUGUAUGCAUGGGACUCUCAUCAGCUAAGACACCCAGAGGGUCUGCAAAGUCUCCGGUCACAUGUCUUCCCCUAAUUCUUAGUGAACUCCUAACCCUGUUGGUCUGGGCCUCAGCCUGUGGCCCAGGCUCCUUCCAGGUGACUGAGGACUUCUGGCGCCACUCAAGAAUUUCUGUGUCUGUCUGAAGACGUGAGGGGCUUCAGUGUCAGAUGUCCCCCAGCCUGGGGAGUCAUGGUCUCUUCCACGAUUGACUCUGGCCAAGGUGGGCUAAACAGAGUCCUCAGGACCUUCAGGGUUUCCUGAGUCUCCAGUCCCUGCCUUUCUAAGCAUGUGGUCUAAGGCCAGUUUUCUAUUGUGUUCCCUGUGCCCCUGAUGACGGUCAUCACUACAAAUGCCCCAGCUGGACAACUGUGGAGCCUUGUAAGCUCCUCAGGCUGCCCUCACUCCAUUGUUGGCUUAACUUUGACAAACUUUGUUCUGAUGCCCCAAGCCUUGCUUUUCCCCUUGGGAGUCCCUUGCUAUACAGGACAUUGUGGGUCCUACCCACCCUACGAGGUCCUUCCCGGUCUUACUUCCUUGACUCUCUGGCGACGGUGGGAACCCACAUGCCUCUUUCUGAACCUCUCUGCAUCCCAGCACACAGGUUGAAACCCAGUCAGAUUGUUUAAACUUUUCUGGCCAUCAGGGCCAGAGUCGAUGGUAGUUUACGAGGGUUAUAAAAGACAACCUUUUAACAUGUCUGAAACAAAUUGGCGUGUAAAGGAGAAACACUAAACCGAGGGACAUGGCUGCAGACUGGAGGCUCUGCUGAGGCCCCACGCUCUGGGGCACAGGUGGCUUUAAUAAUGCAUGCAAGUUUGACUGUGACUCGCCCCUCCAAGAGAAGCCUGAGUCCCCUCCCAGGGUAGAGAUCAAUCUCCCCAGCUCCUGAGUGGAGAUGGGCUUUUGCGGGGCUUUUAAAAUACACAUUUGAGUAUCUUGCAAAACAGUAUGAAUUUGUGGUUAGUUCUGCUGAAAUCUUAGUUAGAACGCAAGUUGUCUUGUCAGGAGAAAUACCCUGGUAUUAGCGUGAAGCUGUUUAUAUAUAUCUUCAGAUAUCGUGAUAGCGAGAGCAGCUCCACAAGUCCCCAUUAAACCUAACACUAAUUGUAUUUCAUGUGGCCUCCCUGGGCAGCACACGGCCACAGACAGGCUUUACUUCAGCAAAACACAGCUAUCUUUGCAUCGCCACAGCCGUUUCCCCCUUUAAUUACAUGUAAUUGUAGAGUCUAAUUUAUUCUAACGCCUGACGCCUAAAAGUGCGCAUUUAGGAAUCAAGGGCUAGUUUGAGAGGGAGGAGAAUUAUAAACCACUAUAAUUGCCGCGAGCAGUCGCGAAGAGUGAUGGUGUUUACUGUGAAUUCUUACCAGGGAAAGCGUGGGACAGUCCCCAGUUAAGACACUCUUCAAAGGCCACAGGUCAUGGAGACAAACAAUGGACUCAUUGUUUGAUGGUAUACCAUUGGUCUUUUUCGGAGAAACAGGCCAAAAAGUUUAAAUGCGUGCCUCUGUGUCCCCUGUGUGGCCCUGGUAAACGAGGGUAAACCAACAGUGUGAGGACAGGUGGAGCUGAUAAUAAGAACAGCCAUGAGGCCCUGGGCAGAGAGAGGCCUCUCUGCAGACAAGGUGGAUCAAAGGGGAUUUUCUUUUCAAGUUUUUUUUUUUAAUUAUCUACAAGUGCAUCUGUGUGUGGGUAUGUGCAUGUGUGUGCAAUGCCCUCAGCAGCCUAAAGAGGGCGUCAGAUCCCCCUGAACAGGGCAUCAGGUCUCCUGGAGCUGGAGUUCUAAGCAGUUAUAAGCAGCCUGACAUGGAUGCUGGGAACCCAACUUUGAUUUUCUGCAAAGGUAGCAUGUGUUCUUAACUUCUGGGCCAUCUCUCCAGCCCUGAGAUCUUUGUUUUCUUGAGGGGAAAUGCACAAUCCAUUUCUUCAUAAGUGUUAUUCGAUCUAGGGCUUUCUCUGGGACAGUAUAUCUAGUUUUAUGAUUGAAUUCCAGAAAAAUCACUUCUGAGCUUUGAUUAUAGUUCAUAGAUUGUGAUUAUGGAUGGUGGGCUAAUGACUCGAUGCUUUUCCAGUCCAAGAUCCUAACAACCUGCCACUGACCAGCAGGUGGUUCCUUUGCUGACUGAUCCCCUCCACCCCCUACUCAAUUUUCUCAUUUAAGAAUGGAGACUAUGGGGCUAUGGAGGUGGCUUGGUUGGGAAAAUGUUUUCUUUGGAAGCAUGAGGACCUGAGUGCAACCCCCAGAAUCUAUGUAGAAAGCCAGGUAUGGCUGCAUACCUAUAAUUCCAGUGCUUAGAUGGAGGUGGGGAUAGAGGAGGGUGAUCAGGGACACUUGGCAUUAAUCUCUGGCCUCUGUCUUCAUCUAGUAUUGGCCACUUAAUUUUUUGAGACAGAGUCUCUCACUGAACCCCGAAAUCAAUGAUUUUGCAAGAUUGGCCGGGGAUCUGAACUCAGGUGCACGUGUUGUGUGAUGAAUUCUUCAGCCGCCGAGCUGUCUCCCCAGUGCCUCUCAGUCAAAUAUGAGCACUGGAAGGACAAUACGGUGGAGGCAUUUGAACCCUCCACCUGAGGCCACAGUAGAUUAUGUUGAUCACGUGGGCUUGAUAUGUUGCUGGGUCCCUUGGCAGGAGGCUGCAGACAUGGUGACGCCAUUAGCCCUCAGGACUGGAGCGGGCAUCUCCGAGGAGUAUGCUGCUUUCCCAGAUGGCCUUCCCAUCAUUAUGGCAUCUAAGGAAAUUAACAGUAAUUCUGUAAUCGCUCCCAGCUUGCUCCCAUUAACAGAGCCACAGAAGUAUUUUUUUCUUUGUUUCUCAAGCCCUUUUCUGCCUCAGGGCCUUUGCACUUGCUCUGCCCUCUCCCUAGAAGACUCAACAAGUUUCAUUCUACCAGUUCUGUGUCGUUACAGGCUUCAGCUCAGAUGUCACCUCCCCAAGACUCUUCCCUGUACGUUUUACCUAAAGACACUUCCUGGCCACUCUUCACCCACCUCCCCACAUUAUCAUCUUCCUAUAAUAUGCUGCCAUCUGACAUUCUUUUUCUUCUCCCUUGGCUGGCCUGAAACUCUCUAUGUAGACCAGGCUGGCCUUGAACUCACAGAGCUCCGCCUGCCUCUGCCUCAUGAGUGCUGGGAUUAAAGGCACAUGCUACCACA